rnacentral:lncRNA from 1 species
ACACCAUUUAAUCUCUGGAUUAACACUUUUGGGAUUAUUACUAUACAUUUUGGAUUGAAUUACUUAUAGAUGACUGGAUUUACCCCAAAUUUCCUGAUGCUGCUCCAAAUUCGAUGACAAUAAAUCGUGCAGCUGCUGAUACAACACAAGUCCAGAUACAUCAACUACUACUGAUUCUGAUAUUACUAUUUCCAUUAGUGAGAUUGAACAAACAAGCUGAAAUUGGAUGUUGCCUUUUCUUUCAUGGAAACGAAAAAAUGCAUAGUAAUAUAUUUAUUAAAGUUAAACGCCUCUGAGAUUUGAAAUCAGAACCUCAAGUAUUUCGAAAUUAAAUGUUCACCAGAAAAAUAAAAUAAAAUAUAUUUUUCAU